rnacentral:rRNA from 1 species
GAUGAACGCUGGCGGCGUGCCUAACACAUGCAAGUCGAGCGAUCUUCUUCGGAAGAGAGCGGCGGACGGGUGAGUAACGCGUGGGUAACCUGCCUCAUACACAUGGAUAACAUACCGAAAGGUAUGCUAAUACAAGAUGAUAUAAGAGAUUCGCAUGGAUUUCUUAUCAAAGCUUUUGCGGUAUGAGAUGGACCCGCGUCUGAUUAGCUAGUUGGUAAGGUAAUGGCUUACCAAGGCGACGAUCAGUAGCCGACCUGAGAGGGUGAUCGGCCACAUUGGAACUGAGACACGGUCCAAACUCCUACGGGAGGCAGCAGUGGGGAAUAUUGCACAAUGGGCGAAAGCCUGAUGCAGCAACGCCGCGUGAGCGAUGAAGGCCUUCGGGUCGUAAAGCUCUGUCCUCAAGGAAGAUAAUGACGGUACUUGAGGAGGAAGCCCCGGCUAACUACGUGCCAGCAGCCGCCGCGGUAA